UGCAGUCGAGCGGACAGAUGGGAGCUUGCUCCCUGAUGUUAGCGGCGGACGGGUGAGUAACACGUGGGUAACCUGCCUGUAAGACUGGGAUAACUCCGGGAAACCGGGGCUAAUACCGGAUGCUUGUUUGAACCGCAUGGUUCAAACAUAAAAGGUGGCUUCGGCUACCACUUACAGAUGGACCCGCGGCGCAUUAGCUAGUUGGUGAGGUAACGGCUCACCAAGGCAACGAUGCGUAGCCGACCUGAGAGGGUGAUCGGCCACACUGGGACUGAGACACGGCCCAGACUCCUACGGGAGGCAGCAGUAGGGAAUCUUCCGCAAUGGACGAAAGUCUGACGGAGCAACGCCGCGUGAGUGAUGAAGGUUUUCGGAUCGUAAAGCUCUGUUGUUAGGGAAGAACAAGUACCGUUCGAAUAGGGCGGUACCUUGACGGUACCUAACCAGAAAGCCACGGCUAACUACGUGCCAGCAGCCGCGGUAAUACGUAGGUGGCAAGCGUUGUCCGGAAUUAUUGGGCGUAAAGGGCUCGCAGGCGGUUUCUUAAGUCUGAUGUGAAAGCCCCCGGCUCAACCGGGGAGGGUCAUUGGAAACUGGGGAACUUGAGUGCAGAAGAGGAGAGUGGAAUUCCACGUGUAGCGGUGAAAUGCGUAGAGAUGUGGAAGAACACCAGUGGCCAAAGGCAAUCUUUGGUCUGGUAAUGGACCUUAAGAACCAAAACC
rnacentral:rRNA from 1 species